ACGUAGCUGGGUACUCUUACCGGAAUCAAUAGCCUACUUAUGAUGACGGCCUGAAGAGCCUUACGCGCCAAUGACGCGUAAGGCUCGUGAAUCGGUACUCAACUAUCAAAAACAACUCCACCAAAAUAAUCAAGUCAAUCGUCAAACAUUGGAUAAAAUAAAGUGUGGAGUAUGUGACCGCUGAAACCAUUUACAAAAAAACUGUCGAUACAAUGACUAUAGCUACAACAUCUGCAAUUUAAAAGGUCAUUGAAUCUUAUGUGGAAAUAUGGUUACGUAUGAAUAAUCAACUAACAUAUUUUAAUUUAAAAAAUGCAAGGGUUAAAGAAUUGUUAAUGAUGAAUGAAGAAUUGAAAAAGGCAAGAAAAACUUUUGAUGAGCGAAAAUUUGCAGGAAAAGGAAAUGAAAGUUCUGAAAGUAGUAACAAUUUAAACAGUAUAAACAAAAAAAUUUUAACCCAUAUGACAAUUUUUAUAGAUUUUCCAUUGUAUAAAUAUGUAGUUUAUUUUAUAUAUACGUUAUUAUAAGUUUUUUUGUAUAUAGUUAGUUUCUAUGUUUAAG